rnacentral:rRNA from 1 species
GAGUUUGAUCCUGGCUCAGGACGAACGCUGGCGGCGCGCCUAACACAUGCAAGUCGAACGGAGCUGAGAGGAGCUUGCUUUUCUUAGCUUAGUGGCGAACGGGUGAGUAACGCGUGAGUAACCUGCCCUGGAGUGGGGGACAACAGUUGGAAACGGCUGCUAAUACCGCAUAAGCCCACGAUCCGGCAUCGGAUUGAGGGAAAAGGAUUUAUUCGCUUCAGGAUGGACUCGCGUCCAAUUAGCUAGUUGGUGAGGUAACGGCCCACCAAGGCGACGAUCAGUAGCCGACCUGAGAGGGUGAUCGGCCACAUUGGAACUGAGACACGGUCCAAACUCCUACGGGAGGCAGCAGUGGGGAAUAUUGCACAAUGGGCGAAAGCCUGAUGCAGCAACGCCGCGUGAGCGAUGAAGGCCUUCGGGUCGUAAAGCUCUGUCCUCAAGGAAGAUAAUGACGGUACUUGAGGAGAAAGCCCCGGCUAACUACGUGCCAGCCGCCGCGGUAAUAC